rnacentral:rRNA from 1 species
GACGUAGGGGGCCAGCGUUGUUCGGAAUUACUGGGUGUAAAGGGUUCGUAGGCGGUGCGGCAAGUUGGGAGUGAAAUCUCUGGGCUUAACCCAGAGGCUGCUUCCAAAACUGCUGUGCUUGAGUGUGGGAGAGGCGCGUGGAAUUGCAGGUGUAGCGGUGAAAUGCGUAGAUAUCAGGAGGAACACCGGUGGCGAAGGCGGCUACCUGGACAGAAACUGACGCUGAGGCGCGAAAGCUAGGGGAGCAAACAGG